GUGCUUGUUUUGGCAGCACACAUACUAAAGCUGGAAUGAUAAAGAGAAUAUUAGCAUGGCCCUUGUGCAAGAAUGACACUCAAACUUGUGAAACAUUCUAUAUUUUU